AGUUGCUUUCUUCAUUGAGUAAUCUAAAUAAUUAAUACGAAGUGGUGUUUUGUGGUUAAUGAUCGCAUUAAGUUAGUCGGAAGACAUUCGCGAGUGUUAUUAUAUAGGAGUAUUCAAUAAACAAAGUGUAUCUGCCUAUUUUCGCUUCGUGCCGGGAAGCCGCUUCAUAACUCAAAAGUUUAUGCGGACUUUUGAGUUAAUUCGUUUGGGGUUCGGAGUAGGAGUCUACUCCGAGGGUGGGGGCUUAGGUUUCAUCAUCAUCACCUUUCAUCAUUUCAUUAAUCAUCAAGAAAAAAAUACGUAAGACAUGGCUGUAUGGGCAUAGUUCCCUUUGCCUUACCCUUCGGGGAAAAACAAAACAAAAAAAAAAAAAAAUUACGAUUAUUUCAUCGUAAUUAUUAAAGAAAUCAUUGUAAAUAAGAAGAUUCUACCUAGUAAAAACAUAUAAAAGAUGACACAAGUUACGCGCAUGUUUCUACAUAACCUACAGCUUCGGAAUGAUAAUAUAGCCCUGCCUAACUAUGCAAGAACAAAACCCUACAAUGCUAGCAAGUCAAACUGCCUAUCGUCCUACAGCCCUAGCCCUAGCCAUACCUACACAGAAAAUAUAUAAAUAGAUACAUAGGGCGGGAUACCUGCACCAUGAGACCUAAGGCAACAGGCGGAUAGUGGAAAGGAGAAGGUGCAGGAAGGAUUUUCUUACUGCCAAUCACACAGACUCAUGUGACUGUGGUUAGGCUAAAGGUGUCUUGGCCACAGUAAGAGGAUACUAAAAGUGACACAUAGAACAUAAUAUAAGCAUGCACAGUGAGAUAAAACAAAAAUGACAUGGACAUACACAGUGAAACUAAAGUGAAAUAAUAAUAAAUAAAACAAGCAGAAUAUGACAACUGUACUUAUUAUAAUAUAAAUUAAUAUUAGAAUGUUGAUGAUAA